rnacentral:lncRNA from 12 species
AUAGCUAAUUAUAGCUCCUAUAAUAUAGCAUCUAUAUUAACUAGAAUAUUUGGAAAUAAGUAAAAUAUUCAUGACAUAAACCAUCAGGCCCUUAAAUUUUUUAAUAUUUUGGCAUGUUUUAGGGAAUUUUAACAAUGAGAUCAGUUCCUUGCUGAAACCCAGAAUUUUCAUUUUUAUCAGGUCCCCAAGAGAGGGAAGCUUCUCUUUUCACGCCAUCAUCCACUAGAACACAUGGCGCAUGUGGCAGUGGUCAGGUCUGUGUGGUUCAUCAGCAUUGUGCCUGGCGCCUUGAAUGAGUGAACCUAGACUCCACCUUCAAAUGGGCUGAGCUUUUCUCAGGUCACAGACAAAAUCCCUGUCCUCUGACCAGCAUCUAGCUGACUAGACACCACCCAUCGAGCAUAUGUGUAAUGGGAAGUAAAAAUUUUUUCAUGACUUCAAGAGGUUGCUCUGGGGAUUGAGAAAGGGAAAGAUCUUUAAAAAAAUAAAAAAUCCCAAAACAAUAACCAGUCUCCCUUUUACUUACAGACAUCAGUAUUAGAGAAGCUCCACUGGAGGACAGCCUCAGUGUGGGGGUUCUCCUGGAGCUGGUAAUGGAUGGAGGCCAGAAGAGUCAGCUCUUAACUUGGAGGAUCACCUUCAUCAAUUUUUUCAUGUGAAAAGGGCAGAAAUCCAGCCAGCGCAGCACACACGAGCCUCCUGCUGUCCUGCCGGCCGGCCUGUGACACGAGGGCUGGGUCAUGACCCCGCAAGGUACACCCUUCCCACCCUCACCGUGUGCGGGGAAGCUGUCACUUGUCACCGCGGGCACCCCUUCUGCAGGAGACCUGGGUGGAAACGAGGGACCGUCCGGGAGGCUUGCUAGCUAAUAUUCUUUUUAAAUUCUUGUUUCCCUUUAGUGAUAGAUAUAUGUGUGCACGCACAUAUACACACACAUAUAUUUAUUUGGGCUGACAAUUCUUAUUUUUAAAAAUACAUAAAAUUCCCACCUUCAUGCACAUGGAUAAUUUCCAUCAGCCAGUAAGUUGAAUAACGCUAAGCAAAAAGUGUGGUCCUGUGGCUCAUUUAAAAAGACCGGUUAGAAGGAGCCAGAAAAAUUCACACUCCCGAGAAUUUCACUAAACUCCAGAUUUCAACCACCUUCCCCAGAUUUCCCUGAAUCACCACCUUUCCCACCAGGCUGACCUUUUCCCACUGUGUCACCCUGUCCCCCUCGCCCCGUGACAAUGCUGUUUUCUGAUGCCCGUUUUCACGUUUGGUCCAGGUAUUUAGGAUUCUACAAUGGUCGCACUGUAAUCAUUAGGCUUCUGAUUCCAGUAAGUAAGUAAGUAAGUUAUUUAUUUAUUUAUUUAUUUAUUUAUUUAUUUAUUUAUUUAUUUAUAAGAUUUAAUUUAUUCAUGAGAGACAGAGGGAAAGAGAGAGACAGACAGACACAGGCAGAGGGGGAAGCAGGCUCCAUGCAGGGAGCCUGACGUGGGACUUGAUCCCCAGACUCCAGGAUCACACCCUGGGCUGAAGGUGGUGCUAAACUGCUGAGCCACCCGGGCUGCCCCCGGUAAGUAAUUUAAAAACUCAGAUGAAAAAUGACGUGUUCCUCAUCGAGCAGUAUUUGGAAGAUACACUUAUUAAAUAGACGACUUUGUAUAAUUUCAACCUGUUCUUCAUGUCCCAUCCUCCCCCAGCCCAAAAAUAUAUUAAAAGCUGGUUUUAAAAUGAAAUCAGAUUUCUGAUCUUUGACUAAACAAAGAUCUUAGUCUUUUUGGUUUAAAAAUGGGCUGUUACUCUGAUCCCUCACCCAUGGAGAGUUUGCAAUACAAUGAUUUCAGAAAUACUUUAUUUAAAAUAAUCUCCGAGGGGCUGCCCGA